rnacentral:sRNA from 1 species
CGGGCAGAUUGAAGUGGAAAAGACAAUGUUUGAAAAAGGCCCAACUUUUAUCAAAGUGAGAGUGAUAAAGGACAAGCACAAUUUUAUAAUUCAUUUAAACGACCCUAAGGAAAUUGUGAAAAAGGAAGAGAAAGGGGAUUAUUAUUUAGAAGAGGAAGAAGAAGGAGAUGAGGAACAAAGUCUUGAAACAGAAGAUAAGGAUCCUGAUUUAGAAACAAUAUUAAAUAUCCCUUCAGCACUCACUCCAACAGUGGUUCCUGUUAUAGUGACCGUUCCUCAGAGCAAAGCUAAAGGGAAAAUAAAAGGCAAAGAAAAACCCAAAGACUCCCUUAAAGAAGAAGAGCACCCAAAAGAAGAAGAGAAAAAGGAAGAAGAAGUCGAAACAGAACCUGUUUUUCAAGAAACUUUUGAUGUUCCCACCUUCCAGAGCCUAAAUGUGUCUUGCCCUAGUGGGCUCCUGUUGACUUUCAUUGGGCAAGAAUCUACAGGUCAAUAUGUUAUAGAUGAGGAACGCACCUGGGACAUCAUGGUCCGUCAGAGCUACCCCCAGAGGGUGAAGCACUAUGAGUUCUAUAAAACAGUGAUGCCACCCGCAGAGCAGGAGGCUUCAAGGGUUAUCACCAGUCAAGGCACUGUUGUCA